rnacentral:rRNA from 2 species
GCUGGCGGGUGCUAUACAUGCAAGUCGAACGAACUCUGGUAUUGAUUGGUGCUUGCAUCAUGAUUUACAUUUGAGUGAGUGGCGAACUGGUGAGUAACACGUGGGAAACCUGCCCAGAAGCGGGGGAUAACACCUGGAAACAGAUGCUAAUACCGCAUAACAACUUGGACCGCAUGGUCCGAGUUUGAAAGAUGGCUUCGGCUAUCACUUUUGGAUGGUCCCGCGGCGUAUUAGCUAGAUGGUGGGGUAACGGCUCACCAUGGCAAUGAUACGUAGCCGACCUGAGAGGGUAAUCGGCCACAUUGGGACUGAGACACGGCCCAAACUCCUACGGGAGGCAGCAGUAGGGAAUCUUCCACAAUGGACGAAAGUCUGAUGGAGCAACGCCGCGUGAGUGAAGAAGGGUUUCGGCUCGUAAAACUCUGUUGUUAAAGAAGAACAUAUCUGAGAGUAACUGUUCAGGUAUUGACGGUAUUUAACCAGAAAGCCACGGCUAACUACGUGCCAGCAGCCGCGGUAAUACGUAGGUGGCAAGCGUUGUCCGGAUUUAUUGGGCGUAAAGCGAGCGCAGGCGGUUUUUUAAGUCUGAUGUGAAAGCCUUCGGCUCAACCGAAGAAGUGCAUCGGAAACUGGGAAACUUGAGUGCAGAAGAGGACAGUGGAACUCCAUGUGUAGCGGUGAAAUGCGUAGAUAUAUGGAAGAACACCAGUGGCGAAGGCGGCUGUCUGGUCUGUAACUGACGCUGAGGCUCGAAAGUAUGGGUAGCAAACAGGAUUAGAUACCCUGGUAGUCCAUACCGUAAACGAUGAAUGCUAAGUGUUGGAGGGUUUCCGCCCUUCAGUGCUGCAGCUAACGCAUUAAGCAUUCCGCCUGGGGAGUACGGCCGCAAGGCUGAAACUCAAAGGAAUUGACGGGGGCCCGCACAAGCGGUGGAGCAUGUGGUUUAAUUCGAAGCUACGCGAAGAACCUUACCAGGUCUUGACAUACUAUGCAAAUCUAAGAGAUUAGACGUUCCCUUCGGGGACAUGGAUACAGGUGGUGCAUGGUUGUCGUCAGCUCGUGUCGUGAGAUGUUGGGUUAAGUCCCGCAACGAGCGCAACCCUUAUUAUCAGUUGCCAGCAUUAAGUUGGGCACUCUGGUGAGACUGCCGGUGACAAACCGGAGGAAGGUGGGGAUGACGUCAAAUCAUCAUGCCCCUUAUGACCUGGGCUACACACGUGCUACAAUGGAUGGUACAACGAGUUGCGAACUCGCGAGAGUAAGCUAAUCUCUUAAAGCCAUUCUCAGUUCGGAUUGUAGGCUGCAACUCGCCUACAUGAAGUCGGAAUCGCUAGUAAUCGCGGAUCAGCAUGCCGCGGUGAAUACGUUCCCGGGCCUUGUACACACCGCCCGUCACACCAUGAGAGUUUGUAACACCCAAAGUCGGUGGGGUAACCUUUUAGGAACCAGCCGCCUAAGGUGGGACAGAUGAUUAGGGUGAAGUCGUAACAAGAGCCAAGA